rnacentral:rRNA from 1 species
AUUGAACGCUGGCGGAAUGCUUUACACAUGCAAGUCGAACGGCAGCACGGACUUCGGUCUGGUGGCGAGUGGCGAACGGGUGAGGAAUGUAUCGGAACGUGCCCAGUCGUGGGGGAUAACGUAGUGAAAAUUACGCUAAUACCGCAUACGAUCUAUGGAUGAAAGCGGGGGAUCGAAAGACCUUGCGCGAUUUGAGCCGGCGAUAUCGGAUUAGGUAGUUGGUGGGGUAAAGGCCCACCAAGCCAACGAUCUGUAGCUGGUCUGAGAGGACGACCAGCCACACUGGAACUGAGACACGGUCCAGACUCCUACGGGAGGCAGCAGUGGGGAAUUUUGGACAAUGGGCGGAAGCCUGAUCCAGCCAAUCCGCGUGCAGGAUGAAGGCCCUCGGGUUGUAAACUGCUUUUGUACAGAACGAAAAGGUUUCUACUAAUACUAGGAGCUCAUGACGGUACUGUAAGAAUAAGCACCGGCUAACUACGUGCCAGCAGCCGCAGUAA